rnacentral:rRNA from 1 species
GGUUGGCGGAAUGCUAUAAUGCAGUCGAACGAGCUUCCGUUGAAUGAUUUGGUUGUACUGGUUUCGAUUGGAUUUUAGUGGCGAAUGGGUGGCUAACGGGUGAGUAACCCGUGGGUAACCUGCCCAGACACUUGGAUACCAGCGGGAUCAGAUGCUAAUACCGUAUAACAAUGGAAACCGUUUGGUUUUCUUUUUCAGCAAGGCUCUGCGAUCGAUUCCGGAUGGACCCACGGCGUAGUAGCUAUUUGGGGAGGUAAAGGCUCACCAACGCAGUGAAACUGAGCCGACCUGAGAGGGUAAUCGGCCAGAUUGGGACUGAAACCCCGCCCAGACUCCUACGGUAGGCAACCUUCCGGAAUCUUCCACAAUGGAAUGAAGUCUGAUGGAGCGACUCCACAUGGGUUUCGACUGGUUUCGGCUCGUAGAUCUCUGUUGUUAAAGAAGAAAGUGGGUGAUAGUAGCUGUUUACCCUUUGACCGUAUUUAACCAGAAAACCACGGGUAACUACCUGCCAUCAUCCGCGGUAGUACAUAGGUGGCAAGCGUUAUCGGGAUUUAUUGGGCGUAAAGCGAGCUUUUGCGUUCUAUUAAAUCUCAUGUGAAAGCCUUCGGCUCAUCCGAAGAAGUGCAUUGGACACUGGUGCACUUGAGUGCAGAGGAACACAGUGUAACUCCAUGUGUAGCGUUGAAAUGCGUAAAUAUAUGGAAGAACACCACUGGCGACUGCGGCUGUCUGGUCUGUGACUGACGCUGACGCUCGAAAGCAUGGGUAGCAAACACGAUGAUAUACCCUGCUAGUCAAUGCCGUAAACGAUGAUUACUAAGUGUUGGCCGUUUCCGCCCUUCCUGCUGCAUCUAACGCAUUAAGUAAUCCGCCUGCCGAGUACGACCGCAAGGAUGAAACUCAAAGAAUUGACGCAGGCCCGCACAACAUGUGGUAGCAUUUGAAUUAACUCGAAGCUACUUACAAAAGCCUUACCAUGUCCUGACAUCUUUCAGACA